rnacentral:rRNA from 1 species
CAGCCGCCGCGGUAAAACGGAGGGAGCUAGCGUUAUUCGGAAUUACUGGGCGUAAAGCGCACGUAGGCGGCUUUGUAAGUUAGAGGUGAAAGCCUGGAGCUCAACUCCAGAAUUGCCUUUAAGACUGCAUCGCUUGAAUCCAGGAGAGGUGAGUGGAAUUCCGAGUGUAGACGUGAAAUUCGUAGAUAUUCGGAAGAACACCAGUGGCGAAGGCGGCUCACUGGACUGGUAUUGACGCUGAGGUGCGAAAGCGUGGGGAGCAAACAGGAUUAGAUACCCCCGUAGUCCCUGUCUCUUAUAC